UACGGGGGGGGCAAGCGUUGUUCGGAAUUACUGGGCGUAAAGGGCUCGUCGGCGGCCAACUAAGUCAGACGUGAAAUCCCCAGGCUCAACCUGGGAACUGCGUCUGAUACUGGAUGGCUUGAAUCCGGGAGAGGGAUGCAGAAUUCCAGGUGUAGCGGUGAAAUGCGUAGAUAUCUGGAGGAAUACCGGUGGCGAAGGCGGCAUCCUGGACCGGCAUUGACGCUGAGGAGCGAAAGCCAGGGGAGCAAACGGG
rnacentral:rRNA from 1 species